rnacentral:rRNA from 1 species
AUUGAACGCUGGCGGCAUGCCUUACACAUGCAAGUCGAACGGCAGCACGGGAGCAAUCCUGGUGGCGAGUGGCGAACGGGUGAGUAAUACAUCGGAACGUGCCCAAUCGUGGGGGAUAACGCAGCGAAAGCUGUGCUAAUACCGCAUACGAUCUACGGAUGAAAGCAGGGGAUCGCAAGACCUUGCGCGAAUGGAGCGGCCGAUGGCAGAUUAGGUAGUUGGUGAGGUAAAGGCUCACCAAGCCGUCGAUCUGUAGCUGGUCUGAGAGGACGACCAGCCACACUGGGACUGAGACACGGCCCAGACUCCUACGGGAGGCAGCUUGGGGAACUUUGGACCCUGGGCAAAAGACAGAUCAUACCUCCCGCCUGCCGCCCGCACGCCGGCGGGUUCGAAAUUGCUAUCCUCCCCAAUAUACAUCCUUUCUUCCUGCAGAAGGAUACUGACGGGUCCGCAGAACAAUGUGGGGGACUCUCUCUCAGAACCCCUAUCAUCGCGCCGGGCGAGCGCUCCCUCUCCACCUCCUCUCAAACGAU